AACGAACGCUGGCGGCAUGCCUAACACAUGCAAGUCGAACGAGAUCUUCGGGUCUAGUGGCGCACGGGUGCGUAACGCGUGGAAUCUGCCCUUUGGUUCGGGAUAACAGUUGGAAACGACUGCUAAUACCGGAUGAUGACGAAAGUCCAAAGAUUUAUCGCCAGAGGAUGAGCCCGCGUAGGAUUAGCUAGUUGGUGUGGUAAGGGCGCACCAAGGCGACGAUCCUUAGCUGGUCUGAGAGGAUGAUCAGCCACACUGGGACUGAGACACGGCCCAGCCUCCUACGGGAGGCAGCAGUGGGGAAUAUUGGACAAUGGGCGAAAGCCUGAUCCAGCAAUGCCGCGUGAGUGAUGAAGGCCUUAGGGUUGUAAAGCUCUUUUACCCGGGAUGAUAAUGACAGUACCGGGAGGAUAAGCUCCGGCUAACUCCGUGCCAGCAGCCGCCGUAACAC
rnacentral:rRNA from 1 species